AUUGAACGCUGGCGGCAUGCCUUACACAUGCAAGUCGAACGGUAACAGGUCUUCGGAUGCUGACGAGUGGCGAACGGGUGAGUAAUACAUCGGAACGUGCCCAGACGUGGGGGAUAACGAGGCGAAAGCUUUGCUAAUACCGCAUACGAUCUAAGGAUGAAAGCAGGGGACCGCAAGGCCUUGCGCGUUUGGAGCGGCCGAUGGCAGAUUAGGUAGUUGGUGGGAUAAAAGCUUACCAAGCCGACGAUCUGUAGCUGGUCUGAGAGGACGACCAGCCACACUGGGACUGAGACACGGCCCAGACUCCUACGGGAGGCAGCAGUGGGGAAUUUUGGACAAUGGGCGAAAGCCUGAUCCAGCAAUGCCGCGUGCAGGAUGAAGGCCUUCGGGUUGUAAACUGCUUUUGUACGGAACGAAAAGGCUCUGGCUAAUACCUGGGGCACAUGACGGUACCGUAAGAAUAAGCACCGGCUAACUACG
rnacentral:rRNA from 1 species